GAUCCUGGCUCAGAAUCAACGCUGGCGGCGUGCCUCAGACAUGCAAGUCGAACGAGAAACCUUCUUCGGAGGGUGGACAGUGGCGCACGGGUGAGUAACACGUGGGUAAUUUACCUCCGAGUGGGGAAUAGCCAGGGGAAACCCUGAUUAAUACCGCAUAAUACCGCAAGGUCAAAGCUUUAGUGCUUGGAGAGAAGCCCGCGGCAGAUUAGCUAGUUGGUAAGGUAAUGGCUUACCAAGGCGACGAUCUGUAUCCGGCCUGAGAGGGCAGUCGGACACACUGACACUGAAUAACGGGUCAGACUCCUACGGGAGGCAGCAGUCGGGAAUUUUGGGCAAUGGGCGAAAGCCUGACCCAGCAACGCCGCGUGAAGGAUGAAGUCCUUCGGGAUGUAAACUUCGAAAGAAUAGGAAGAAUAAAUGACGGUACUAUUUUUAAGCCCCGGCUAACUCCGUGCCAGCAGCCGCGGUAAUACGGAGGGGGCAAGCGUUGUUCGGAUUUACUGGGCGUAAAGCGUAUGUAGGCGGUUUGGUAAGUUACUUGUGAAAUCUCCGGGCUUAACCCGGAACUGCCAAGUGAUACUGCUGAACUAGAGUGCAGAAGGGGCAAUUGGAAUUCUUGGUGUAGCGGUGAAAUGCGUAGAUAUCAAGAGGAACACCAGAGGCGAAGGCGAAUUGCUGGGCUGACAC
rnacentral:rRNA from 1 species